GAUCCUUUCUCCUAAUCUCAGCAGGUGAGAGAAAUACAAGAUGUAUAGUCUUUGUGACUCACAGGUCCAACAGGGAAAAUCUUGAGAAGGGAUGAUUUCGGACAAACAUAUUUCCUCCUGAAUGUAAUUGGCCUGCUAUUGAAAAGAAGACAAGAAGAUGGUCAGGCUGUGAUACAGCAAGUGAUUUUGCUUGCAUGAGCCCCCUUGCUAGAUAUCUGAAGAAAGUUUCUGGAGAGACCAGAACAGAUUACAGCAAUGAUGAUGCUUUUAAAGUUGCCAAAUUUAGUUUCACAGCUUAUACAUUUGGAAACAGGUAGUGAAACCAG